rnacentral:rRNA from 1 species
AACACGUGACUAACCUACCCCGGUGUGGGGGAUAACGGGUCGAAAGACUCGCUAAUCCCGCAUACGAUCCGCCUCGGCGGAGGAAAGCCGUAAGGCGCACUGGGCGGGGGUCGCGUCCCAUUAGAUAGUUGGUGUGGUAAUGGCGCACCAAGUCGAUGAUGGGUCUCUGGUCUGAGAGGACGACCAGACAGAUUGGGACUGAGACACGGCCCAAACUCCUACGGGGGGCAGCAGCAAGGAAUUUUCGGCAAUGGGCGCAAGCCUGACCGAGCAACGCCGCGUGGAGGAUGACGGCUCUUGGGUUGUAAACUCCUUUUGGGGGGGACGAUAAUGACGGUACCCUCCGAAUCAGGCCCGGCUAACUACGUGCCAGCAGCCGCGGUAAUACGUAGGGGCCAAGCGUUGUCCGGAAUUACUGGGCGUAAAGUGUGGGUAGGUGGUCGGUGAUGUGCCGCGUGAAAGCGCCGGAGUAAUGCCGGCGAGGUCGCGGUAGACACACGGACUCGAGGCUCGCAGAGGAACGUGGAAUUCCCGGUGUAGUGGUGAAAUGCGUAGAUAUCGGGAGGAACACCAGUGGCGCAAGCGGCGUUCUGGGCGAGACCUGACACUGAGCCACGACGGCGUGGGGAGCAAACAGGAUUAGAUACCCUGGUAGUCCACGCAGUAAACGAUGCAUACCAGGUGUGGGAUGGCGUUCGCGUCGUUCCGUGCCGCAGCUUACGCGAUGAGUAUGCCGCCUGGGGACUACGAGCGCAAGCUUAAAACUCAAAGGAAUUGACGGGGGCCCGCACAAGCAGC